GGAGAAUACUAUCCGGUGGCUUCUUCUGCCUGCUUCGUGCCAAUGAUGACAAUCCAAGUUGUAGCAGAGCGCAUGCAGAAAAUUGAAUUUGAGGUCAAGGAAAUAAAAAAGAGAUUCAAAGAAAUGAGAGAAAUGCAUGGAAGCAGCCGUGAUGAUAGGCAGAAAAGAGAACAAUUACGCCAAGAGAAGGAAAUGUCCAAGUUUGCACAAAUGGCAGAUGCACAUAAACAAUGGCAACAAUAGCAACAACAACAACAGCAACAACGUGAAGGUUUUGGGACCUCCUGCGAUAUUAGUGCACCAAAGGUUUCUUCAACAGUACUACAACAGGAUCAGUGAUAGGAUAUGAAAUUUGGCUUUUCUAAGCAAGGCAAUGCCAAGAUACACAGUGGUAGGUGUUUUGUCCCAGUCUCAAGCCAGCAAUCCUUUUUGAGUGUAUCUAGUAGAAGUAAGCAAGAAGAUCGUUCCCUUCGAGGCUGGCUAACUAUGUUGUGCUUUUUUGUUUUAAAUUUG